GACGAAUGCUGGCUGCGUGCUUAACACAUGCAAGUCGAACGGUGAAGGGGAGCUUGCUCCCCGGAUCAGUGGCGAACGGGUGAGUAACACGUGGGCAACCUGCCCCUCACUCUGGGAUAACUCCGGGAAACCGGGGCUAAUACCGGAUACGACCGGGAGCGACAUCGCUCCUGGUGGAAAGAACUUCGGUGAGGGAUGGGCCCGCGGCCUAUCAGCUAGUUGGUGGGGUAACGGCCCACCAAGGCGACGACGGGUAGCCGGCCUGAGAGGGCGACCGGCCACACUGGGACUGAGACGCGGCCCAGACUCCUACGGGAGGCAGCAGUGGGGAAUAUUGCGCGAUGGGCGAAAGCCUGACGCAGCGACGCAGCGUGAGGGACGAAGGCCUUCGGGUUGUAAACCUCUUUCAGCGGGGACGAAGCGAAAGUGACGGUACCCGCAGAAGAAGCACCGGCUAACUACGUGCCAGCCGCCGCCGUAA
rnacentral:rRNA from 1 species